CCUACGGGUGGCUGCAGUGGGGAAUAUUGCACAAUGGGCGCAAGCCUGAUGCAGCGACGCCGCGUGGGGGAUGACGGCCUUCGGGUUGUAAACUCCUUUCGCUAGGGACGAAGCGUUUUUGUGACGGUACCUGGAGAAGAAGCACCGGCUAACUACGUGCCAGCAGCCGCGGUAAUACGUAGGGUGCGAGCGUUGUCCGGAAUUACUGGGCGUAAAGAGCUCGUAGGUGGUUUGUCGCGUCGUUUGUGGAAUACCGCAGCUUAACUGCGGGGUUGCAGGCGAUACGGGCAUAACUUGAGUGCUGUAGGGGAGACUGGAAUUCCUGGUGUAGCGGUGGAAUGCGCAGAUAUCAGGAGGAACACCGAUGGCGAAGGCAGGUCUCUGGGCAGUAACUGACGCUGAGGAGCGAAAGCAUGGGUAGCGAACAGGAUUAGAUACCCCAGUAGU
rnacentral:rRNA from 1 species